CCUACGGGAGGCAGCAGUGAGGAAUAUUGGUCAAUGGGCGAGAGCCUGAACCAGCCAAGUCGCGUGAAGGAUGACGGCCCUACGGGUUGUAAACUUCUUUUGUCAGGGAGCAAUUGGGUCCACGCGUGGGCUUAGCGAGAGUACCUGAAGAAAAAGCAUCGGCUAACUCCGUGCCAGCAGCCGCGGUAAUACGGAGGAUGCGAGCGUUAUCCGGAUUUAUUGGGUUAAAAGGGUGCGUAGGCGGAAUAUCAAGUCAGCGGUAAAAUUUCGGGGCUCAACCCCGUCGUGCCGUUGAAACUGAUGUUCUUGAGUAGGCGAGAAGUAUGCGGAAUGCGUGGUGUAGCGGUGAAAUGCAUAGAUAUCACGCAGAACUCCGAUUGCGAAGGCAGCAUACCGGCGCCCAACGGACGCUGAAGCACGAAAGCGUGGGUAUCGAACAGGAUUAGAUACCCUUGUAGUC
rnacentral:rRNA from 1 species